rnacentral:lncRNA from 1 species
AUGGGUUAAUAUGCUAGAAGUUGAGUGUGCUUGGACAACACUUUAUGAGCUGAAUGAUGAGGGAAGGCUCUCUGUAGAGAAGGGGACAUCUGAGCUGAGAACCUGAAUUACUCACAGGAAGGGGCCAGUUCUGCAUUCUUGGCAAAGAGAAGAGCUGGUGCCCAGACAUUGUGACUGAAGAGGCCAGGCAUUUCCACAGGGUGGAAGAAUAGUGGGUCUAAAUUCCCACAACCAAGAUGAGAAUGGAUGGCCGAUACUAGGCAUGCAUGUGCAUACAGAAAAGAGAGUAACCCAAUAGUGAGGAAGAAAUUGAUGCUGCAGGAGAGAGGGAAUAAUUGCCGAAGCAAAGAUCUUGAGGUACUGAGAAAGGAUGACCCUAAUUUCCUUAAUGCUGCAGCCUGCUUCCACUGAGGGACUGGAGGCUCCUUGAGCAAAAUUAUCUACCUCUUCACCUUUGGAUCUUUCACAGUUCCCAGUUCGGUGUACUACAGAUUGUACUUGCUAAAUAAAAAAUCAUUGUCAUGGUUUACCUAAAUGCCUGAAGUGUUAAUAAUAAAAAAAAAACCCUUUAUUCCCUCCCAUACACUUUAUAAAUCUACAGGAUUAGAGAAACAGAAUCAUCUAGACAUUUCUGGUGGUAAUGGAAAAUUGUUCAACCACUCUGGAAAAUUGUUUGGCAUUUUCCUAUAAAACUAAACAUGAAAUUACCAUAUGACCCAGAAAUUGCAC